AUAUAUACACAUCUCUGAGAGGACUUGUUCUUGUGUAAAUCCAGCUGUUGUGUCUCUGGUCCUUGGCGACUGAUCACUAGGCUCAUCAUCGCUGCCCCUCGUUUUGUCUCCGACGAUGUGUGAGGGAGUUGGAAAUAUGUGUCCGUUCAUCUGUGUUCACUUGUUAUGCAUGACUCCUCCAAGUGGCUCGGUGUGACUUUUAGAGCUGACGGGAGCUCUAUCAGUGUUGAGUUCUGCGUUUUGCCCUCUGUUGCCUCUCUCUCUCGCUCUCUCUCACUCUCUCUCUGUCUCUCUCUCUCUCUAUGUUGUAGCCUUAUUGUGAACAUGUUUUUCGAUUCGCAGCUAUGUUAAGUAGCUGUGCAGACCUGGGUCGAUUACAGCUUGAAACGCGUUCAUCCACUCAUGUGGUCGAUGAACACAUUUCAAACCGUAGCUCAUGUCUGUAGCUGUGAUUGGUGAUUUCUUGUUUCGCCUCUGUGUAGAUCUAUCAACAGUAUUGUAAUUUGAUGAUUAUUCUCAUGAAAAGACAUUGAGACAGUAGUGCAAUAACACCUCGACAUGACUGUUGAGCGCUGUCCUCCUAUGAUUAUGAAUAUAAAUAUAUGACCAUACCUACAGGAUCUGUGUAUCUGUUCCAUGCUGUACUCCUACGUUCCCUUUAAGGUUCCGUUCUUUCAGUGGCGACUCUCCACGCUGCUCCGUAACAGCAGUCAGCAGCUGGGCGUCUCAUCAUUCUCCCAUAUUGACUGUCAUUUGUAGAAGUGCACCGAAGGGAUGACCCCACUACCUUCACUGGUCAUAUUCAGUUCAGCUGAUGCAGUUAUGUAAAAAACAAACAAACAAAAAAAAAAGAAUAGAAAUAGAAAGUUUCCGAUCUGCAUAUCGACCUGUCUGCUUAGCCAUCUCCGAAACCAUGUUGCAAGUAAAUGAAAACAUAUUGUAUUUGUAUGUAUGUGUCAUCUCAGGAGUUUAUUUUUUGUAAUAUAUUUAUUUAAUUAUUUAUUUUUGAGGCUCCAUAUUUAUAGUACAGUAUACAAUGUUUGUUUUGUAGUGUGUUUUUAUUUGUAAUGCAACUCUGCUUUGCAUGAUCAGGUGACUGAUAAUGUUUCUUUUUUCUGUACAGGUAAAAGUUAAUAAAGAUGUGGUUCCAUCAUUC